rnacentral:misc_RNA from 1 species
GGAAGGAUCAUUAUCGUGCCAAAGGCCGCUGUCUCUCGGGACAGUUGGCUUUUGUUACCCUCAUUCUCUGUUUUUGUGUACCGUGUUUGUUUCCUUGGUGGGCUUGCCCGCCAUUGGAAUCCCCUUACAAACCCUUUGCAGUUGCAAUCAACGUCUGAUAAAUCAAUAGUUACAACUUUUAACAAUGGAUCUCUUGGUUCUGGCAUCGAUGAAGAACGCAGCGAAAUGCGAUAAGUAGUGUGAAUUGCAGAAUUCAGUGAAUCAUCGAAUCUUUGAACGCACAUUGCGCCCCUUGGUAUUCCAGGGGGCAUGCCUGUUCGAGCGUCAUUUGUACCCUCAAGCUAUGCUUGGUGUUGGGUGAUUGUCUGGCCUUUGUGCCUAGACUCGCCUCAAAGUAAUUGGCAGCCAAUGUUGAAGUAGGAGCACGCAGCACAUUUUGCGAGCGAGUACCCAAACUACGGCGUCCAUAAGCACUUCUCACUUUUGACCUCGGAUCAGGUAGGGAUACCCGCUGAACUUAAGCAUAUCAAUAAGCGGAGGAAAAGAAACCAACCGGGAUUGCCCUAGUAACGGCGAGUGAAGCGGCAACAGCUCAAAUUUGAAAUCGGGCAUUUAUGCUUGAGUUGUAAUUUGCAGAGGGAGCUUUGGUUCUGGCAGCGGUCUAAGUUCCUUGGAACAGGACGUCACAGAGGGUGAGAAUCCCGUACGUGGGCGCUGGCCAUUACCGUGUAAAGCCCCUUCGAUGAGUCGAGUUGUUUGGGAAUGCAGCUCUAAAUGGGAGGUAAAUUUCUUCUAAAGCUAAAUACUGGCCAGAGACCGAUAGCGCACAAGUAGAGUGAUCGAAAGAUGAAAAGUACUUUGGAAAGAGAGUCAAAAAGCACGUGAAAUUGUUAAAAGGGAAGCGCUUGCAGCCAGACUUGCUCGUAGUUGCUUAUCCAGGCUUCUGCCUGGUGCACUCUUCUGCGAGCAGGCCAGCAUCAGUUUGGGCGGUUGGAUAAAGGUCUCUGUCACGUACCUCCCUUCGGGGUGGCCUUAUAGGGGAGACGUCAUGCAGCCAGCCCAGACUGAGGUCCGCGCAUUUGCUAGGAUGCUGGCGUAAUGGUGGUAAGCGGCCCGUCUUGAAACACGGACCAAGGAGUCUAACAUCUAUGCGAGUGUUUGGGUGUCAAGCCCAGGCGCGUAAUGAAAGUGAAUGGAGGUGGGAACCCUUUAGGGUGCACCAUCGACCGAUCCUGAUGUCUUCGGAUGGAUUUGAGUAAGAGCAUAGCUGUUGGGACCCGAAAGAUGGUGAACUAUGCUUGAAUAGGGUGAAGCCAGAGGAAACUCUGGUGGAGGCUCGCAGCGGUUCUGACGUGCAAAUCGAUCGUCAAAUUUGGGCAUAGGGGCGAAAGACUAAUCGAACUAUCUAGUAGCUGGUUCCUGC